rnacentral:lncRNA from 1 species
CCUAUAUUAAAUUAUGAUUUAUGAAUGAUAAUAAUCGAUGUAUUUCUAUCAUAUAAUUUUCUUGUAAUAUUGUUUUUUCACUCGACUAAAUUAGUUUUUAGGUCUCUGUCAAAUUUACAGAAUGAAUUUUGAGACCUCCUUUCCACUUUUUGUUCCAAACUUCAUACAAUCCAAAAUAAAUCUUAUCAGUAUUGUUCCCUUUUCCUUUUGUUAUCGUAAUAGUUUUUGAUAUCAUCUUUUUGCCAUUAAUCUCAGUUGUCAAAUUCACCUUUCUCCAUUGAGUGUUAUCUCCCCAUUUAGCCAUAAGAUAAACUGGUGAAUCUCUCAAACCGAACGCAUCAGUCAUCAAAGACAUUGUAAAUCCAAUCUCGUAAGAUAUUUUCUUCGUUAUAUUAAUACUGUCGAUGCAACCAGUUACUUCCAACCAAUUUACUUGAAUAAGUUCCGCAUCAUCCUUUCUGUAAUUCAAAUAUAUUUAAUAAAAACGUUAGCGUGCUGAAAUACCAAAUUAUGACAUGUAGUUUUACAAUCUAAUUAAUGUACAGAUUUAAUUUCUAUAUAUAAUUUAGAUUUGGUGCGCCCAUAAUUUGUUCUGAAAGUCUCUUUGCGCUAAUUUAUUGCCUACUUCACAUUUUUGCAUAUAUAUACCAUAAGAGAUUAUUAUAAUUAAAUUUAUCUCAACAUGAUUUAUGCACUCUUAUAUUGUCUUCAUUAUGCAAAAUGUAUUCCAUAUAGAAAAGUUUAUGUUCAACUUCUUUAUGAAAUCAAAAUAUAUCUCAAAGUUCAGCUAUAAGUUACAAGUACGUAACAUUAAAUAAUUGGCAAACAUUUUUAAAAAAAGAAAGAAAAAAAAGUUGUAUACUUACUCGUAGUUAGGUAACUUCCAAUAACUCUUAUCAUUUCCCCAAACAAUAUUAAGAGAUUUCGGAUAAACUAUAUAACCCUGCAAGCAACAAAAAUAACACUAUAUUAAAUAAAUAACAUAAACAUGAUGGAUCGAGCAUAAAGGAAAGUAAUAAUGGGAGAAACAAGAAUUGCAAUAUUGGAAGAAAUUAAUGAAUGAAAUUUCCUGUACUUUUCUGUUUUAGAGAAUGUUUGAUUGCCUUGGUAAUGAAGAGAUUUAGAAGCCAUUUAAUUUGCUAUAUAAGUUUGAAUUAUUAAAGAAUGUAGAGAUUUGAGUGCCUUAUAAUAAUUUUCGCUACAAAAAUCAGAUAUAUAUAGAGAUAGAAAUGGAAUCAAAUCACACGUAUUAAGAGACAUUUAGCAUAGAAUAUCAACCAAUCAAAUGGAAUAAAAUAUCAUGUCUUAUAUUCUAAUAUAUAUGUUGGCAUGCAUUUUUCUACAAGUUGUUUUAAGGAAACGUUUUACUCCUUAUGGGAUUUGGCUUACCUUACUCAGUGGAGUAGCCUGGAUACGGGUUCGACUGAACUCAAUAGUUUUAUUUAAGUAGUAUAUUUAUGUUUAAAAUAAUCAUCAAAUAUAUGUAUAGUAAAUUUAAAACUCAAUUAUUAUUAAUGAAAGAUCGUCAUUUUAGAAUUCAGAAUCCAUCAAAUUAAAAUUGUGACUCACUCAAAUUUACCAGUUAUUUUAAACGCGGGAAAUGAUAAAACCGACAAAAACAAAGUUAAAAAUAUACUCCUUACUAUAAUGAAUUGUCAAAAUUGAAUGCAUGAAGGUAGAGAUUGAGGCCAAUUGAAUAAUAUAAUAUACCCACAACAAAUUUGGCACUGUAUAUUAUUCUCACACGUUGAAUAUUUACAGUACUAUAUAUAGUUCACAUAUUCUACUUUUACAACUUUUUUUCAUUUAUUUUUUUAAUCAACUAUCACUUGAUUCUAGUCAGCCCAAAUUACCUCGAUUUAAUUGUAGUUAAAUUUGACUUCUCUACUUAAUCUUGGUUUUUAAAAUUCACUUUUUUUGCUUUAAUUAAACUUUGACAUGGAAGAUAUUAAUUAAUAUAAGAUAUUUGGUGAUAAUCAAUUUAUACCUAAACCGAAAAAAAGCAUAAUAAGUGAGGGGCCUAAUUAAGUUGGACAAAACAUGGUCAAAAUUCCUAUUAUUAAAUUAACCAGUAUACAUUCCCGCGCGUUGCACGGAUAAUAUAAAAAAUUAUUAUAUAUAUAUGAAAUGAAAGAACAAAUCACAUGAUCAUUUAAUAACUUGUACAAUAUACUUUGCGUUUGUUCGUUACUACAUUAUUAUUAACUACUUAAAAUCAUAACAUUAUCGACUAAAUUUUGAUUAACUUAUCACUUACUUUAAUAUUCUUUUUCGUUAAUCUUCUAUUUAUAUAAUACAAAUAAAUAUAUAUAUUUUCAUUAUAAAAUAUUAUUUAAUUUUAAUAAUAUUUUAAAUAUUAUAAGUUUAUUGUUAUUAUUGACACUCUUUAUUGUUUUUUUUUUUUUACUUGAAUUCAAGUAAAAACAUUUGCAAAUUAUUUGUAUUCUUUUGAACAUUUUUUGCACUAAGAUAUUUUAUAAGUUUUAUAUUUUUGUAUGUUAACGUAUUAAUAUCUUACUUAAUACUAAAUUAUGAUUUUAAAUUUGUCCCAAAGUACGAAUAGAGAUGUUUUUAAUAUUAUCAAAAUUGCAAGUGGUAUUUUCUCAUGGAUAAUGCUAAAGAAGUUAAAUUUUUUGAUGAAGGCAUUAGAUUAUUCCGAUCAUUGUAUUACUUAACAACACUAAUGACAUUCCUUCAAAUAUAAAUACUACCUUAUACAAUAAGAAAAGUAUAUAAUAUUUGAAGCUUUAAGUAAUAUAAAAAUUGAAUUAUUCUUUGUUAUGAUAUUUUAUUUUUAGAGAAAACGAAAAAGUAAGCGAAACUUGAUUUAUAUACGAAAGUUAUUUGUCUGCACAAUCAAGUGAAACUUAACUUAUAUACGAAAGUUAUUUGUCUGCACAAUAAUCACGUCAAAGUUGAUGUGUGACUUUAACACCUACAUAUCAAGAUCAUAAAACAUUAUAAUACAGCCAUGCAAACGAUUUAUACAAAGACAUAUUCACACACACCAUAUAUUUAAUUAGUAUCAUUUGAAUAUCACAUGCAUUUGAAUGAACUAUAUAUAUAUUGCCAGUAAGCUAGAGUUCAAGGAUCAUGCCCCAUUAAAUAUAGUAUUCAAUUAUAAGCAAACAGAAAAAAGAAAAAAGAAAAAAAAAAGAUAUGAAUUCAAUAUAACAAUAGAUAGUAUUUUGUGCUAGGAGUCAUCCUAGUAAAUUUGUCAAGUCAAUAUUUAAUACUCUUUCUAUUGCCAAAAUAAAUUAAAGUUAUCCAACAAUUACCAUCGCUAUAAUAUAUAAUGGAAAUUAAGAAUGUUUUGUUAAAUUUUUUAUUUCUUAUACAUUAAAAAAAUACACAUGUAGACUUGUAGUUGUUUAGUCUUCACCUUCAUAAAUUUUAAUAAAUUAACAAAUGUGACAUUUUUUCCAUAUCCAGUAUUACUCUUUAUUCUCUUUUUUAUUUGUACUAAGUUUGAAAUUACGCACAAAAAUUAAAGAAAUAAAUUAAUAAAGUGAACAAACUAUCUAAAUUUCAAAUAUAUGAAAUAUAAAUACAUACAUUGUCAUUAAUUCAAGUAGAUUUGGAGUUGCUCUUUUACUUCAAGAAUCCCCCAAACACGAAAAUCUCACUUUUUGUAUUCAACGGCAUAAGCAGAAAAGAUAUAGAAUUUAACACUUGAAUUCAAAAAUUGGAUCAAACGCAUUAUAUUAGAAUAUCUUAAGUUAAGAAAUAUCUAACUAUCAUCAUAUUUUUCAAUGCAUUAAAUAAUAUAUAUAUAUAUUCACUUUAAACUAUGAAUUAAUUAUGCGUCAGUAUGACUUACCAAAUAAAUUGAUGAAAAUAUAAUCAAUUACUAAAAUUUUGAGUGAUAUAUUCAAAUAUUUAUUGCAUUAAAAGAUCAUCAAAAAAGUAGCAAAAUAUUGCAAAAGAAAUAGAUUACCAAAAUUUUAGGAGAUACAAUUAGUUAUUAAUUUAUAUUACAAUAAAAGAUAGUCAAAAUCUGCAAAAGAAAUUUUAAACACUGCUUUAUAUAUAGCAUUGAUGCAAAAUUGGAGAAAUUUUUUCAGAAGUAUUAGAUUUGAUUAUGUUACUACUGAAAUAACAAUACAGUCACUCAUAUUUAUCUGUAUUAGAUAGAAAAUACAUGUGAUGCUUGGACAGAGAUUGAACAAAAUUAAUAAAUUACAUAAAGUUAUGUAUGAACAAUCAAGGCUCAAGAUAUUUCCUCACUAUCAAUAUUGAGAUUUGAAAACAUACAGUAAGUAAAGAGAAAAGAAGAGACAGAUAACGUAGUGGAUAGAAUUAAGGGUAAAUUUGAGAAGUUAUAACUGCUUUAAAUUUUAAAAUAUUUUAAAAUAGUUUAUCAAUUGUAGAAAAAUAUUAAAUCUUUUUUUAAGAUGCCGACAUUUGUCAUUAUGUGUGUAUGUUGAUGACAUGUGUCUAUUUUUAUUUUAAAUUUUGAAUUUGUAAUAUUUAAUUAGUAAUAUAAUAUUUAAUUAUUUAUAAUUUAAAAUUCUGAAAAUUUAUGAUAAUGACAUGUGGCGUUUUUUCUUCUCCUAUUAUAUAUAGAUAGAUUAGUUGGAUUCAUGAUAAUGUUUUAAAUGACGAAAGAAGUGAUUGUGUAUUUCCUUUAAUAUUUGCUUAUUGGCAUAUAUUUAUUCCAAAGCAAGUGUGAUUGUUCAAUGAAUACAACAACAGUAGAGUAGGUCUAGUUUUAUCUUAAUUUCAUUAUGUGAAAUCAGUAUUUGAAAAUCAUAAAUAUUUGAAUUUUAAAGCAGUAAGAACUUCAGUUGAUUUAAUUAAAUUAAAUUCUUGUAAAGAAUGAUGGUCAAACCAAGUAUAUAUCAAUUGAAAUAAGUUUAAAUGUUGGGAAAACAUAAUGAAUUGUAUACUACAUGGUAUAGGAAUUGGCCAAAAAGUAAAGUAAAUAAACAAAGUAAUCCGAUCAAAUUUAUUUGAGGAUAAUGAAAUGAGGCAUGAGCGUAAUUGAAAAUUGAAAUAUACAAGAUUAAUUUGCAUGACAACGUUUCAUAUUUUAGUAUCAUCACUCAUCUCAUAUUUUGUGUUAUUUUUUUAAGAAAUAACUUAGAUAGUUGUAUUUUGGUUGGACUUAUAAAGAAAUAUUUGGAGAACAAAUUAUUUAUAUGUUGUAUGAAUACUUUACCGAAAAAAUCCAAAAACCUGAAAAAACCCGAGGUUUAUUAGUUUGGUUUGAUUUAAAAAUUAAAAAAUUCGACACAAAUAAUUUGGUUUGGUAUUUGAAAAACCCGAACCAACUCGAGGUUGUAAAACUCGAAAAAAAAACCCCAGUUUUAUUAGUUUGAUUUGGUUUAUAAAUUUAAAAACUUUACACAAAUGGUUUGGUUUGAUAUUUGAAAAACGCGAACCAACCCGACCCUGCUAAUAAUAAACAAGUUGUGGCAAAUCAGAACAAUUCUAUAUAUUUCCAAACGAAAAGGAAGUUGUUGGGAAGGCUACAGGGAAUUCAAUCCUCUCCAAACUACCCUGGUAGCAACUUCUCCUAGACCUAGAAAAUAGACUUAUAAUCGAAUACAAUGAAAUCUUAAAAAGAGAGGAAGAAUAUUGGAAGCUCAGGUCCCGAAUAAAUUGGUUAGCAUAAGGUGAUGCUAAUACUAAGUUCUUCCACUCUACCACCCUAAAUCGUCGUAGAAGAAAUAAAAUCUUGUCCUUACAAAUAGACGACGGCAGUUGGUUAAGCAAUCAAAAUGACAUCCUAGAGUUCACCACCUCUUACUUUGCCAACUUGUUUAACUCUAACCACAACCAGUCCCCUAGAUGCUUCGUAACUCAAGAUCAUUCCUUAUCCAGAGAAGACCUUACCUCUAUGGGUGACACCUUAAGUGAAGGAGAAAUUGCACUUGCAGUCUUCUCCUUCAAGCCGCAUAAGGCGCCUGGGCCAGACGGUGUCCAUCCUUUCUUCUACCAAAAAUACUGGAAAACAGUAGGACAUUCAGUAAUAGAAUUCUGUAAAAAAAACUUGGGCAGAUGAAUGCAUCAACCCAGAAAUUAACAGCACAAAUGUGUGUCUUAUACCUAAAGAGAAAAAUGCUUCGAACCUAAAAGAUUUUAGACCCAUUAGCCUUUGUAAUACCACCUACAAGAUAAUUACUAAAAUCAUAGUAAACAGAAUUAAACCUAUUCUUAACAAAAUUAUUGGCCCCUGCCAGGCAAGUUUCUUUAAGAACAUGCAGGCUACCGAUAACGUUAUUAUUGUACAGGAGAUUCUAAACCACUUUAAAAAAAUGAAGGGUCAGUACGGAAAUAUGAUAUUAAAGAUAGACCUAGAGAAGGCCUUUGACAAGUUAGAAUGGUCUUUUGUGAAAUAUACCCUGCAUUUUUUCAAUUUUCCCCUAAAGAUCAUAAACCUCAUAAUGUCUUGCAUCUCUUCUAGUAAGAUUGCUAUCUUAAUUAACGGUACUACAACAAAAUAUAUUACACCCAACAGAGGAAUUAGGCAAGGGGACCCUAUGUCCCCUUACCUAUUCAUUAUGUGUAUGGAGGUACUUGCAAGAAAAUUAAUAGCCAAGUACUCCAGAAAGUGUGGAAACCCGUACGAAUCGCAGGAAAGGGACCUAAACUAUCCCAUCUAUUCUUUGCAGACGAUUUAGUACUUAUAGGAAAAGCGGAACUUGAAACUUGCUUAGCAAUAAAAAAAUACAUUGCAAGAUUUCUGCUGUAUGAGUGGACAGAGUGUAAACCAUGCUAAAUCAAAAAUUCUAUUCUCUAAUAAUUGUAGUAACUCACUCAAUCAAUCCCUAUCGGUAGCUAUAGGAAUCCAAGAAAGUAGUAACUUUGGGAAGUACCUUGGGUUCCCUAUUUUUCACCAAAAGCCCACAACUAGGGAUUUCCAAUUCAUUAUAGAUAAUAUGCAGUCAAAGUUAGCUAGUUGGAAAACGAAAUUCUUGAACAUAGCGGGUAGAACCACGCUAGCAAAAUUGUCCCUUAAUAGCAUCCCAACGUAUAUAAUGCAAUUAACUAAGCUGCCUGCUUGUAUCACGAAAAGGGUGGAUCAAAUCCAGCGUAAUUUUAUCUGGGGGUCCACGGAUAUUAAAAAAAAAGCUUCACCCUAUUAAUUGGAACUUAGUUACGACAAGCAAAAAAGAUGGUGGUCUAGGAAUCCAAAGAUGUAGCAUAAAAAAUAGAGUCAUGUUAGCAAGACUAGCCUGGAGGGUAUUUAAAAACCCAAAUGCCCUAUGGGCAAAAACGCUCCUAGACAUUUAUACAAAAUCAAAUGGUCUAAGGAAUAACUCAAAUCAUAAAAAACAAAAAAGUUCCUACUGGAAAAACAUAAUAAACGGAUGGGAAGAGUGCAAAGAAUGCAUUCACUGGCUAGUUAGGGACGGAAAACAAAUAAAUUUUUGGACGGACCAUAACUCCACGACGCUAAGAAACAUGCUUAGUGGGCCCCUUCCUAUGGAAGAUACGGAGAGGUUAGUUAAUUCAGUCAUUAUAAAGGGGCAGUGGAAGCUUGAGAAUAUUCCUUACCCUUUACUACAAAGUGUCAUUUAUCAAAUUAACAUCCCCCAUAUUCCAAAUCCAAAAGAUAAGCCUUAUUGGGCACUUACAGCUAAUGGGUCAUUCACCACAUCCUCAGUGUAUCAUCAUAUUAAGGGAAAAUUAAUCAAAACAUAAAGUUUCUUCCAAUAAGGAAUUUAACGGGAUCUGGAAACUCCAGUGCCCGAACAAAAUUAAAUUCUUCCUCUGGCUUAGCAAUCAUAGGUGUAACGACCCUAAAAACGAACUAGUGAAACUAGAGCCUCACAUGUGAGUUUGGAGUUGAGAACUUGAUGAAAUGAUGAGAAAUGACCAUGACGUUCGGAAACUAGUCAUUUGAACUAGUGAGUUGUAAGGGUCAACUUUAAAUGGUCAUAUCUUUUAGCUCAAAAUGAAUUAUGUGGACCUUUACCUAUCCAAUUAAAGGUCUCUGAGUCCUCUUUCCAACGCCAUUGAGUUUGCCCAAUUCCGACCUUGGAGUAAAACGUUAUGCCUGAAAUAGUGAAGCACUGUCCAAAGGACGAGUUUAGACGGGAAUGGGCACAAUUUUUAAGUCAAGACUUUAUGGGUCCUUAGUCCUUUUCCAAAAUUGACCCUAUGCUAUUCUUUUCCUUUCCUAGCAACUAUAAGACCUUUUUAUGACCCAAUUCCUUUCAUUUAAGUCACUCCUCUUAGAAUUUCCAAAAAAAAAUGAAGCUAUAUGUGAAGGUAUGAUGUGAAUGAGUUUUAUGUGAAGCUAUAUGUGAAGGAAUGAUGUGAAUGAGUUUUAUGUGAAGCUAUAUGUGAAGGAAUGAUGUGAAUGAGUUUUAUGUGAAGCUAUAUGUGAAGGAAUGAUGUGAAUGAGUUUUAUGUGAAGCUAUAUGUGAAGGAAUGAUGUGAAUGAGUUUUAUGUGAAGCUAUAUGUGAAGGAAUGAUGUGAAUGAGUUUUAUGUGAAGCUAUAUGUGAAGGAAUGAUGUGAAUGAGUUUUAUGUGAAGCUAUAUGUGAAGGAAUGAUGUGAAUGAGUUUUAUGUGAAGCUAUAUGUGAAGGAAUGAUGUGAAUGAGUUUUAUGUGAAGCUAUAUGUGAAGGAAUGAUGUGAAUGAGUUUUAUGUGAAGCUAUAUGUGAAGGAAUGAUGUGAAUGAGUUUUAUGUGAAGCUAUAUGUGAAGGAAUGAUGUGAAUGAGUUUUAUGUGAAGCUAUAUGUGAAGGAAUGAUGUGAAUGAGUUUUAUGUGAAGCUAUAUGUGAAGGAAUGAUGUGAAUGAGUUUUAUGUGAAGCUAUAUGUGAAGGAAUGAUGUGAAUGAGUUUUAUGUGAAGCUAUAUGUGAAGGAAUGGUGUGAAUGAGUUUUAUGUGAUCUUGUGAUGAUCCUAUGUAAAGUGGAUAGCAUUGUGAGUUAAAGUAUGAUUUCUCAUGAUGUAUAUAUGAAAUGAUGUUGGAUUAUGAAGUAUCCUUAAAUGAAAAUGUUGUGACUUGGUUGGUAGACUAAAGUGUCCCUCCUUGUUACUUAAAGUCUUGAAUGCAUGAAUGUGUGAAAUGGGCAAAACUAAGAAAUGGUGCCCUUUCAUAAGUCUAGCUUUCCUAAGUAAAUGUAAAACCAUGAAAUCGGUAGACCUAAUGGUGGUAGCCCUUCUCAUGUGUGAAAUGAUGAACCUUGGAUCGGUAGGCCUAAGGCACCCUUCUAGGGGGAUUUAAUGAGCUAUCCUUAUGAACCUUGAUUGGCCAUGACUAAGAAAUGGGGCCUUUCUUGGGAAGAGGUACUAUGAGUUGGUUGAACUAGAAAAGGAACCUUCUCUAAGUACAUAUGUGAUUGAAUACUCUAUGGGAAACAAGGCUAGCACCGAGUGGAUGUGGUUAGGAAGGUGGCCUAGUUGAGUAUGAGAUUAGGCACAAUGAACUUCCUUGGACAUCCCUUAACCAUGUGCCUACAUGGGUUGCUUACUAGUUCUACCUUUGGCAAGUAGAACAACCUCCACGGAGUAGGAUAGACUCCGGAUUCCAUACCUAGCUAGUAUGGUCUAUGUCGGUUAUGCCUAUUCCCAUCAUGUGGGAUGUGCACUCUAGUUAUUGGAUAGGUUCUACAACGUGUAGGUAGUAGUAUGGGAUGCUAUCUACACAUGGCACGAGUAGGCUUUGAAGAUACUAAAGUGAGUUCCCUAAGUCUAACGACUAUUAUGUGAAAGUCCCCUUAUGUGCUUGAAUGUCUCCAAAAUGGUUUCUUAAAGAAUGUUGGUCUAUUGAUGUUAUGUUGUAAAGGAAAUGUCCUUAUCUAAGGUAAUCUUGGGGAACACUUAAGUGUGCUUGAAGAGGUUGUAUGGGCGGUCACUUCUUGUCUUACUCAAGUGUGUCUUAAGGUUUAAUUAGGUAGAGGUCCUAUGGUAAUGAAAUGACAAUGUGUUCUUUUAUAGCUAAGCAUGGGUUGUAUAUGGACUUAUGUUAAGUAUGUGUGUGCUUGGCUAUGGUCUUAUAUGUUAAUGUUGACUUGUUUUAUGUCUUUUAUACUUGUGAAGUGAAGGUUUUUAUCAAAAUGAUAUGAAGGCAUACAUUCCUUGUAAAUGUCCGUUGUGCAUAUUUUCUUGCAUGGACUCCAUACUUAGUACUUAAUUUUGCUAAUCCCUUUCUUUCCCUUUUUGGACUAAAGUGUAGGGAUUUGGAGAUGGUGACAUGUCAUGGCUACUUGAUAGGUUUCUAAGUGUUGGAGAUGAAGACUUGGUGAGUCCUCAUAGAUUCGAGGACAAUACCCUACAUGUUCCUUUUGAUGUAUUUCUAGUAUUGUUUAAGUUGUGUACGAGAUUAGUCCCAAAUUUUGUACUCUAAAGUAUUAGAUGGUUUUGAGACAUCAUGUAUAAAGUCUAGAAAGUCUUCCGCUUGCUAUUAUUUUGAUUUUUUUUAUGAAAUGUUUUCUUGGUAAAGAAAGUUUUAAAUUCCUUAUAGUUUUAGUGUCUAUGCGAUGAAUGAAUGCUAAGAGGCUUGUAUUAGACCUCUUCGAGGUCGAGUACGCCGGUUACGAAUAGGGGGUGCUCCCGGGUCGUGACAAUAGGAGACUACCGACAAGCCAGCAUCUACACUCUAUUGGGAUCAACAUCAGUCCAAUUUGUCCUAUAUGUGGAGAUGUAGAAACCGAUACACAUAUCUUUGUAGAAUGCCCCAAAGCAUUAAAACUUUGGGAAAAAUUAGGCCUAGUCGAUCAGUUAAAACCUAUCCUAGAUAAGAGAGAAACAGACUAGCUUUUUACAAUUAGGAAAAUCAAGAAUUUUAACAUACAUUGACUCGAAUUACGCUUUUCCUUACUAUGUAUGGAGCAUAUGGUUGAACAGGAACCAUAAUUUCCAUAAUGAAAAGAAAGACGACAUCUUAACUUCCAUACCGCUAGACAGAGCAUUAGAGUUCUUCUACCUAGGUUUAAAGGAAAACGUUGGAAAUAAGACUAGAACUAAUCUAAAGUGGGUGGUGCCCGAAACGGGCUUUAAACUAAACACGGAUGGUUCUUUUAAUUAUCUCACGAGGAAGGGGGGAGCGGGAGGAGUUUUACGGGAUACUAGGGGUUCUUGGAUAACAGGGUUCUCAACAAAGACAAACGUUAUGAAUGCGCUCCACACUGAAAUAUUAGCUCUCCUAAUGGGAUUAAGAAUGGCAGAUAGACACAAGUUAACACCACUUCAAAUAGAAACAGACUCAUCAGACAUCCUUGUGCUGAUUUACGAAGGAAACGAUUCUUUUUCUAACAUAAUCCUUGAAUGCAGGGCAUUGCUCCAGAGGCAGGGGAACCCACAGAUCACCCUUAGACGCAGGGAGCAGAACCAGGUGGCGGAUAGAUUAGCUAAAGAAGCGGUUAAGCUAAAGGAAAACAUAGAUUUUGUGGAAUGGUCAGCCCCACCCAUGUUCAUCAUGAAGAAUAUCGAUGCGGACAAGGAGGGAGUAACCUUUAUUAGGCCUGACAUGCCACCUUCAUCACCGAAUAGUGUAACUCUAGUUGAUAAUGUAGUAGGUAUUCCUGUAUUUUGUAACAUGGAGCGGACAUCUACUUCUUUGUUCAGCACGAAUACUAUAGAUGCUGGAAAGAAGGGAGCAAAUUUUCAGACCUUUGACAUGCCUCCUCCAUCUUCGGAUAGUAUAGCCUUAGUAGCUAAUUUACCUAGUAUUCAAGCUGAUUGUAAUGCUUCUAGCCACCUGAAUUGUAUGGAUGCAUCAUAUCAUAUUAUACUAAAAGUGGAAAGUCACAAACUUAAAAGUUGAAAUACCAUUUUAUCCUUAUCCUAAUUUAAAAUAUCUAAUUAAAUAAUAAUAUUCUAAUUACCUAAAGAUUGAAAUAUUUAAUUAAAUAAUGAUAUUAAAAUCACAUAAAUGGUGAGUGAAUGAAAGUUCAGUAGUGUUUUUUUGUGUGUUUAAUUUUUUAGAAGUUCAACAGUCUCAUUUAAUGCUGCAUAUUCAGUUUUCCCUCAAUAUGCCCACAUAAUUUAUUUACUACAAUCUUAACCAAGCAUCCUUAUUAAUCUUUUUCCUCAAUUUUUGUUUUUUUUUUUCCUUUUUGAUGUAAAAUUUCUGCCCUUUAAUUUCUAAUUUCCAAAUAAUAUUAUUUUUUACUAUUCAUGUUAAACGUAAUACCUCUAUAGCUAAAAGUUGUCUGUUCAAUUCAUAUAACUGCAUCUUUAAAGGUAAUGUACAUUGUACUGACUUUUUCUUUUCCCAACCAUUAAUUUUUCCUCACAAUUUAAUAUAUUCUUAAUUGCUCUCUAUAAAGGUCCGCAAUAAGUUGUUUUCUUUUUAUUGUUCUAUUUGUCUUCUUCUCAUAUACAUUUUUUCCAGGUAUGAUCACAACUAUUAUUUCACUGUUAAUAUGUCAUUGCUUUUGUUUUGUUACUUUCGUUUCCUCUUGAAUUUCAUUGGAUGUCACUUAAUUUAUCGACAUGUUUUGUUUUUGAUUUCUUUCCACCUUUACCCUUUUGUUUGAGCAAUUCUCUAAUUGAGGCUUUCGACUUGGAAAAUGUUUGUUGUUGAGAUACUUUCAUACAUAUAUUUGUCAAAAUAUAAUCCCUAUCAAUUAUAUAGAUUUUGUUCGAUUAGAAAUUACAUUUAUCAUUGGUUAACUCAUUGUCUCUUUAUGUGUAAUUAUUAAUACUUUUACAGGUUUCUUGCUUAUUACUUCCACAUAAUUGGCAUGGUAACACUUUCUCACUUUGUAUUUACUUUUCAAAAACUAAUUUGGUAUUUAUAUUAUUGUUGGAUGAAGUAUACCAACUGCUUGAUUAGUAUCUCUCUAUCUUCAGAAACUCAAAGUAAUCAAAAUAAAAAAUUUAACUUUGAACAAAUAUAUUUAUAGAUUACUAAAACUUACUAAUUAUUUCUAGCGUUAUAUCCACAGCCUAAUCUUAUCCCACAACUUUUAAUUUUCUUCGGGCUAUCUGCUUCUUUUAUUUUCAGUUAAAUUUGUUCAUAUCCUUUAUUUAGAUGCAAUAAAAUUUUACAAUACUCCAAGUUUUAAAUGUAUCAUAUUAAUAUUCUUAUGUCGAUAGUUAUUAAGGAUCUCUAUAACCAGUAGUUAUUACUUUCUUCCCCAGGUGUACAUCAUAAAAUUGACAGUGAUCCCAUGCAUCCAAAUAAAGAUAUAUGUUAAUUGAAUUUCCGUACAACUUUAACAUAUGACUGUAAUAUGGUGGAGGUUACAAUUUUGUAAAGACAAGACACAAGCAUUAAGGCAUGAAGUAUUUGUAAUCAUAAGUGAUGUUGCUCAUAUUCAUAUUUGAACUAUGUAUUGUUGAACUAUCACAUAAAUUAAAUAAUUUGAUAAAUUAAGAAAACCUCAUAAGAAAACGUCAUAUAAUUUGUGGAUUGUGUACAACUACCGACUAUAGUAAUAGUGGCCGAAGUAAAAGAAUAACACUAAAGAAACUUUUUCUUUUUUUGUUUUGAAAAUAAACACCUCUUAAAGUGAAUAAAUCACUUUUUAUAUGGUAAUUUAUUUAUUGAAUUUGUACUUACCCAAAUUAAAGCCUCAUCUUUAUAAGUUUGUGUAUAAGAAUGCUAUUAUGUUGUUAUCAGAUGAUGUAAAGUUUGUUUUUUCAUGCUACACUAGCUAUGCCAAAAGGCACAUGGAUAGCUAUAGAUAAUAAGAAUUUAUUUUAAUUUGAAUGAGACUAUAACAAAUUUAAUAUCACGAUACAUAUGUAUCAUCUAAAGUCUUGAGAACAAAUACUUACUCUAUUUAUGUUAAAUUAAUAUCUAAUAUAAUGUUAAUAUACAUUAUUUAAGAUUUUUAUUUGUACGUUGUUGUGCCGGAGAGAUUCUUAGAAAGAGUUUGAGUCAAUUUUUUUAACUUUAAUAAUUAGUUUUAAAAUAUAAUUGUUCUACUCAUUCAUCUCAAGUUCAACUAUGAUAUUGUUUUGACAUAUAUGAACACCAAUUAUCAAUUUGAGUUUUUUCCUCUUUUAAUUUAAUUUUGAAUCUCACACUAAUAUUUUAAUAGUAUUUAUUAAUUGUUAGGAAUACACGUGCAACGCACGUGUCCAGGACUAGUAUUAUAUAUAAAUAAAUUAACUCCUUCUCAACCAAAAAAAAAAAAAGAACAAUUCUAUAUAAAUCAGUCAUCGUAACUACAUUAAACAUAAUUCCACGAUACUACUCUAACCGUCCCAUAUUGUGUGAAAAUGUAAUACUAUGUUGUGAACCAAACUAUUUUUUCUUUAAUUAUAAUUUUUUCCAAACUUCAUUUUAAUGUUUUGAAUCAUUCACUGUAUUAGCUUGUAAUGAUUUUCGUAUAUAUAUAGUAUAUCCAGCUAUCAUAAAGUUAUGAAUUUCAUGAACCUUUUCUGUUUUAGAGAAUGUGUAAUUGCCUUGAUAGUGAAGAGAUUUUGAAGCCAUUUUUUGCUAUAUAAGAAUUUUUUUUUACAAAGAAUAUGUAGAAAGGACAGUUUCAACAUGUCAGCUUUCUGGUAUUAAAUUAAACUUUAAGGGUAUUAAAAUCUUUUAAAAAAAUUUGUUGCUUAAAAAAUUAGUUCUAUAUUUUGCAUUGUUAUUUGAUCCUAAGUAAAAACUCUUAAAAAGGUCCUCCUUUUUCUAUUCAACUACAAACUAUACCCAUUCAAGAAUAUGAUCGGUCCCACUUUCUUAAUAUGUCAUCGAAGAAUAUGACAGGUCCCACUUUCAUCUCUUUUUUUUUACUUAUUCAUUAUUCAAAAAUAAAUUUCAUUUUGAUUGUCAUUUUUCAUAUUAAUAAUUUUUUUAAAUCACAUUUUAUCUAUCGUAUUAAUUAAAUAUUAAACAUUAAUUAAUAGAAAUAGUGUAAUAAAAUAACUAUAUCAAUUAUUUUUUUAAUAAAUAGGUGAAAUUUAAAUAUGACAAGUAAAAAUGAACGGAUAUACUAUAUAAUAAGAAGAGAUUGAAGAAAGGAUAAAUAAUGACAGAAUUAAGGAAAAUGUUAUCAUCUUAUUGACUGAGAUUUUUAUGGGAAAUUAAUUCACAUGCUCUAAUUAUAAUUAAUAAAGUAAAUAAAUGGAAUCAUUUAGUUUACUCUUAUAUUAAAUAUAAAAAAAAAAUUGUUUUACUUUUUUAUUUUAAUAAAUUAAGAAAUUAAUUAUUUUUGCCUGACUUUAUCAUUAUCGUUAAGUAAUUAUAUAAAAUACUAAUAGUCAAGUUAAAAUUUUCAAAAUAUAAUUAAUAAAAUAAAUAAGGCAUCUUCCCCUAUGCUUAAUAUAUAUACUCUCUUAUUAUAUAAGAGAGAGUUCACACUGAAGCAAGCACGUCUCUGUCAACGUGCCCUGCUUCAGCAUGUUUCGAAAAAAAAAUUAAAAAAUGAUUUCUUUUGUUCUAUUAUAAUUUAACUAGUGUAUAAUAUUUUUGAAAUUAUGAGAUCCGUUUUAGCUAUGACUUUUAGUUUUGAAUUCAUAUUAUUUAGUUAUAGCUUUAUUAUUUUUAAUGUCGGUAAUAUUUGUUUAUAUCUUGUAUCUACUUUGAGUAAAAAAUUAACGAUUGAUGACGAAAAAUACUUUAAUUAUGGGGAUCUUAAUGGACCUCUUCACAUUAAAUUUGCACAAACCAAAAGUAAUUAACAAAUUAAGGACCUCUUCACAUUAAAUUUGAGCAAACAAAAAAUAAUUAACAACUUAAAAAAUCUAAAAAUUACAUUAAAAUUUAAUCAACUUUUUAAAUUUUAUCUAUAUAACAUUAAUUAAAAUUAAAAAAUAAUAGAUAUUGGGCCCGUACUAGCACGGGCACCUGUGUCUAAUAUAAAUAGAAAUGGAAUCAAGUUAAGAUCAAUAUCACCAACCAAAUGGAAUAACAUAGUCUUAUAUUCUAAUAUAAGUUGAUAGGCAUUUUUGUAAAGUGUUUUUUUAAGGAAACGUUUAAAUUAUUCCUUCUGGGCUUACUCCGUACAAAUCUGAACUAAUCAGAGUGAUAAAGUGUCAUGGGCAAAGCUAGUAACUCGGAUAUUGAUUUGAUCUAACUCAAUAGUUUUAAUUUGCUCAAUCGUUAUAUUUGGUUGAAAACACUUAUUGGAUAUAUAUACAAUAUUAAAUUUAAAAUUCAGUUAUUAUUAUUUAAAGUCACCUUUUUAAAAUUCAGAACUUAUAAAAUUGAAAUUGAAACUCUACGAAUAAAUCAUACUAAUUAAUUUCGAACGUGAAAAAUGAUCGCACAGACAAAAAAAGUUAAGAAAAUAUACUCCACAUAAUAAUGAGUUGUCAAAAUUGAAUGCAAUGAAGGUAGAGAUUGAUUCCAAAUUGAUAAAAGCUCGAAUAAUUAUAUGUCAACUGCAAAACUGGCUUUAUACUACUCAUAAAUAUUCUCACACGGUAAUUAGAAUAUUACAGUAGUAGUUUAUUAUAAUAAUAUCGUUUUCAUUGCUUAUUUAUUAUUAGUUCACAUAUUCUACUUUAAUUAAAAUAACCUUCUUUGAAUGAAAUAUAUAUCACUUGAUUCUAGUCAGCAUAUAUUUAUUCCAAAGUAAGUGUAAUUGUUCAAUGAAUACUUGUCUUAAUUUUAUUAUGUGCAUGAAAGCUGUAUUUGAAAAUCAUAAAUAUUUAAAUCAUAUUCUUGUAAAGAGUGAUGAUCAAACCAAAUAUCAGUCGAUGAAAUAACUUCGAAAUGUUGGAAAAACAUAAUGAAUUGUACACGAUAUAUGAUAUAGCAAUUGUUUGAUAAGUAAAUCAAAUAGAUACACAAGUAAUCUCGAUUAAAUUAAUUGUAUGAUAAUAAAAUGAAUUUUGGGGUAAUUAAAAUAUAUAGAAGAUCAAUUAUGCUUUGCCCGACAAUGAGUACGUCAUGGUUAUUGUGGGAUGUUGUGAUGAAAAUUAAAUAAUCAGAUCGACUGAAACAAAAUUCACAAGUGAUUAUAUGUUUUUAUUAUUAGUGGAAAAACAGUAUUAUGGAAGUCAUCCAAGUAGAUGUGUAUCCCUCACUUUACAAUGGACUAAUGUACUCAGAGCUUUAGACAAAGUCCAUGAAGAAUCUUAAGAGAUAUGAUGUCAUGAUUCAGACCGUUGUGAGUGACACACACACUAACAAUAACAAUCUAGUGGGAGAACCAUGUACAAACCCAACAUCGUUCAAAAACCAAGUUUAUCAUAUAAAGAGUAAAACAAUUUAACAACCAAAGGAUUGAGUCCUCAUAAACUCAACUAAAUAGUUUUAAAAUGUUUAAUGCGGAAAAACCUCUAAGAACUAAAAGUCAUCAUAACCAAAAUUCUAAAAUAGUCAAACUGGGGAUGCAACCCCCGAAUCAAUCAAUAAACUAAAGACUAGUGUCUAUCUCCGAAAAGAUGGACAAGAAAAGCAGAAGACCCCAUGACAACUCGAAAGACGUAGCUCACCCUUGUAUUCAGGACAUCUCUCAACUGAGGUCUUGGAUUAGCUGGUAGAAGAUGUGAAGUACUCAACAAAGAAAAGAACAAGUACAACAUCACUACACAAACCACAGUGUACUACUAGGAGCACACAAUCAAUCCAAGAUAGGAAUGUAAACAGCUCACCACAAGUAGUAACACAGAACAAUGCACAUGACAACAAUUAUCAACCACAUAAACUCUCAGUCACAUGUCAUGGAACAACAACGCAUAAGUCAACCAAUGCAUGACAACAUGUCCCACAUGAUCACAAUGCAAAUGAUCAGUCCUCUCAUGGAACCACAAUCACUUACCUGGUUCUCUCACAUAACCCAAACCCAAAUUGUUAGUGUAUGACAUGGUAUCCGAUCGAGUCAUCCAUAGUUAGUAUAUUAGCAUGGUACCCGAGUCAACCAGCAAUCACAAACAACAUGCACAAUCACAUAGAACAAUAAACAAUACCACUUGAAAACCACAGGUGACAAUAACAAGUUCGUGGCAUGUUAGGGCUUGGAGAAAAGAGAAAGGAAGAAAGAAAGGGAGAAAAGCCAAGAUUUCGCCAAGAACACUCAAGCCUUGCGAGUGGAAUUCGUCGGGGGUGAUCCCUACAAGGUAUGUGAGAUCACAUAGUGUUGGGUUAGUUCACCCACACGCCAAACUUGUUUCAAUUCAGCAAAUUUGGAGUUGUUUGAAUGUUAAGAAAGUGAAGUUCUUGAAGAACAUUGUUGAAUUCUUGUUGGUUGAUUGUUGAAUGCCUAAUGUUGAUUUGAUUCGUGGUUCCGGGUUGUUUUAGAGUUAAAUAUAUUGGGUAUUGAGAGUAAUAAUGAUCCUAAUUGUUUGGGGAAAGAACUAUGGAAGUUUAGAGAUGAAAAACGGAGAAGAAAAAUCGUCAAAAACCUGGGGAAGGAGGUGGGGCGUCACGCCAGCCAGCGCACCCCAGAAGCUCCUCUGACGUUUGAGGACUGGCGCCCCGCGCCUCACAGAGCACCAGGGACGCCAGUUCUCUCCAUUCUUUCCCCACCUUUUUGUACAUGUUCCUUAGUGAUGUACCUACGUUUUCUAGUUGAUUCCAACACUCUAAGGUACAUCUAAAUAUCAUGAAAUCAUCCAUAAAUAUGAAAUCAUGAACCUUGAAUCCAUAAUCCAAUUCAAGGAAAGUUAAGAUCAAAGUCAAGAGAAGUAAGAGUCAAGUCAAGAUAAGUUCUUAGAGUUUUUCAAGUCUUUUUCAAAUGUUUUAACUUUGUUUUAAGACUUAAAGUUCAAGUUGAGUAAAGAGUAAAGAGUAAAGUUUGAAGUUCAUUUCUUCAAAAGUAUAUGAGGACUAAGUAUUCCCAAAGAGAUUUAAAAUGUUUUCACAUUUAAAUAAGACGGAAACUGAGAUUUCCAAAGAGGCUUCGGGCUAGUUUUCAGAAAAAGUAAUCGCUUUCUAAAAGAAGCAAGAAGGGAAAUUUUGAUUUCCAAGAUAGCCUUUGAGCUAAAUUUUUGAGCACUAAUCUCAAAUCACAGAAGAAGUAUGUUUUUAAAACAUAAGAGCCAGUAUAUUUUGGGAGUAGUAUUGAGCACCGAAUUGGGGACGAGCAUGAGUUUAGAUAACUCAUGUCACCAUAGAACCAUGUAGCCAUCAUGGGUAGAAAAGGGUCAUACUUUUUAGAUGAAUCCUUUUCGCAAUAGACUAGUGGAUCCAUUAGGUCAUUUCAGGUUCUAUACCUUUGGCCGGGUAUAGGAUGUGCUGGCAGCGUGAGGUAGAUCGUUGUAUCAUCACUAUAGCUCUUAUGUGAUGGUUGUCGGUAAGAGAAACUCCCACAGAAGUUAUUGUAUUUUUAUAUAUAUCAGUUUAUUGUAUGUUACAUACAUUUAAGAGUUAUGUUGUAUCCUUGUAUAUACAUAGAGUUGACAUCAUAUUUUUAAACAGUUUUUCUUUAUAUUGCACUUGUUUAAACUGCUUUAUAUUGAAAUGAGUUCAGUUAAGUAUUCAUGAGUUGAAAAAAGCCAAGGUAAGUGUUUCUUUCAGAUUCUCUUUCCAGCCUAUAUUGUUUUAGCAUUCCAACUCGCAUACUUGUACAUUCAAUGUACUGAUGCCAGUUGUCCUGCAUUUUAUUAUGAUGCAGACACAGGUAACUAAGAUCGGUAUUCCAGCGCACCGUUGAUCUAGUGAGCAGUUCAGAGUCAGUCGGUGAGCCUUUUUGCAUUCCAGAGGACUCAUUUUUAUUGCUUUCUAGUUAGUUCAUUAGGAUGUUGUGGGUUGUCCCAACAUCCAUCUCAGUUGUUUUAGAGGCUUCAUAGACAGUCAGAUGUUAGUCCUUUGAGUCUUUUCAUUAUUAGAUAUUAUUGUUAAGACUUCGGUUGCCACUUUUGGCCAAGUUGAAUGUUUAAUCUUUAAAACAUUCUCAGUUAUUUUAUUUCAGUUCAGUUAAGUUCAUUUAUCAUUAUAGAUAUGAAUAUUGUCUUCCGCUGAGUUAAGUAAGCCAGGCCAAGGGUUCGCUUGGGGCCAACAAUGGUCUUCGAGUGCCAGUUCCGCCCAGGGUGUAGGCUCGGAGAGUGACACGCUUACUCAUAACGACCGGGUUAGGUCGUUACAUAUGAUCGUUUUAAAUUGACCCUUGCAUAAUCUCAUGUAAAAAAAUUAUCGGUAGGAAAACUUUGAACUCGACUUGGUGUUGGAGGUUCAUUAUGACCCUAAUUCACAUUUAAUACACUUCCAAUACUUAGAAAUUAGUUUAACACAGAUACAAAAUUAGAAAUCAUCGGAUUCGAAUAUAUACAUAUAUAUAUAUAUAUAUAUUAUAUAUUCAAAAAAUAGUUUGAAUCGUAGCUUAUAAUUUGUGGGUGAAUCUAGUACUAAUUUAUACUUCUUACACUUGGAUAAGUGAAUUUUAAAAUGCCACUAAGCUCAUAUAUAGACCUUAGUAACAUAUAUUCACAUCUUUUGCAUGACUUUUAAAUAACUAUUGAUAUGGGAAGAACUAGAAGCUAGCCGUCGUCGUGAAGACUUUUUGUUUGGAAAGUCAAUAAUUUUUCUUCAAAUAUGAUUUUCUCGUUUUUUUUUUAAAUAUCAAUUUUGUUUUUAAAGUUUUGAAAAUUUUCAUAUCCAAAUUCAUAUUCAAAAUAUAGUAUUUUAACCCUCAUAGAUCCCUACUACUUAUCCAUAAAAUACGACAAAGGGAAAGGGUGUGAAGUCCCGAAGGAGAGAAUAUGAGAGGAAAAUCAAAAUUUCAUUUAUUAUACGAACAAUAUUAAAUACAAAUACAAAUUUAAUUAAAAGAACACAUGACUCUAAAAUACAUGAAUAAGAUUUUUAACUUAAGUUUCUCCUAUAAUAAAUUAUGAUUUAUUAAUGAUAAUAAUCGAUGUAUUUCUAUCUUAUAAUUUUCUUGUAAUACUGUUUUUUCACUCGACUAAAUUAGUUUUUAGGUCUCUAUCAAAUUUACAGAAUGAAUUUUGAGGCCUCCUUUCCACUUUUUGUUCCAAACUUCAUACAAUCCAAAAUAAAUCUUAUCAGUAUUGUUCCCUUUUCCUUUUGUUAUCGUAAUAGUUUUUGAUAUCAUUUUUUUGCCAUUAAUCUCAGUUGUCAAAUUCACCUUUCUCCAUUGAGUGUUAUCUCCCCAUUUAGCCAUAAGAUAAACUGGUGAAUCUCUCCAACCGAACGCAUCAGUCAUCAAUGACAUUGUAAAUCCAAUCUCGUAUGAUAUUUUCUUCGCUAUAUUAAUAUUGUCGAUGCAACCAGUUACUUCCAACCAAUUUACUUGGAUAAGUUCUGCAUCAUCCUUUCUGUAAUUCAAAUAUAUUUAAUAAAAACGUUAGCGUGCUGAAAUACCAAAUUAUGACAUGUAGUUUUACAAUCUAAUUAAUGUACAGAUUUAAUUUCUAUA